rnacentral:rRNA from 1 species
CCUACGGGAGGCUGCAGUGGGGAAUAUUGCGCAAUGGGCGAAAGCCUGACGCAGCGACGCCGCGUGAGGGAUGAAGGUCUUCGGAUCGUAAACCUCUGUCAGCAGGGAAGCACGGUCACUGUGCUAAUCAGCAGUGAAUUGACGGUACCUGCAAAGGAAGCACCGGCCAACUCCGUGCCAGCAGCCGCGGUAAUACGGAGGGUGCGAGCGUUAAUCGGAAUUACUGGGCGUAAAGCGCUCGUAGGCGGUAUGUCAAGUCAAGGGGGAAAUCCCCGCGCUCAACGUGGGAACUGCCUUUGAAACGGGCAAACUGGAGUGUGUGAGAGGAUAGUGGAAUUCCAGGUGUAGGAGUGAAAUCCGUAGAUAUCUGGAGGAACAUCAGUGGCGAAGGCGACUAUCUGGCACAUAACUGACGCUGAGGAGCGAAAGCGUGGGUAGCAAACAGGAUUAGAUACCCGGGUAGUC